rnacentral:rRNA from 1 species
AUACGGAGGAUCCGAGCGUUAUCCGGAUUUAUUGGGUUUAAAGGGUGCGCAGGCGGCCAUUUAAGUCAGCGGUUAAAUCGUGGGACUCAACCCCAUUCUGCCGUUGAUACUGGGUGGCUUGAUUGCGGUCGAGGUUGGCGGAAUUCGUUGUGUAGCGGUGAAAUGCAUAGAUAUGACGAAGAACACCGAUUGCGUAGGCAGCUGACCAGACCGCAAAUGACGCUCAUGCACGAAAGUGCGGGGAUCGAACAGGAUAGAUACCCUGGUAGUCCGCACAGUAAACGAUGAAUACUUGUUUUCGGCGAUAUAAUGUCGGAGGCAAAGCGAAAGCGAUAAGUAUUCCACCUGGGGAGUACGCCGGCAACGGUGAAACUCAAAUGAAUUGACGGGG